rnacentral:rRNA from 1 species
UCUCGGCAAAUUAUCCUCAUAAGUUCGACAAGAAGAGGAACCAUAAAAUUUUAAAUAAAUUAGUAACUCCUAUUAAUUAUUUUAUAUGGUGGCACAAAAUCGGAAGCCCCGACUGUUUACUAAAAACACAACUAUCUGCAAUUAUGAAAAUAAUAGUAUAGGUAGUGAGAUUUGCCCAAUGCCAUAUUAAUAAGUAAUAAUAAUGGGUAACUGUUUCUUUACAAAAAAUUGGUUAAUAGCGGUCUUAACUAUGAGGAUCCUAAGGUAGCAAAAUAAAUUGGCCAUUAAAUGUGGUCCAGUAUCAAUAAUUUAACGAUGGCUUCACUGUCUCUACAACUUGCUCAGUGAAAUUGAAUUACCCGUGCAGAUGCGGGUUACCUCAAAGAGGACGGGAAGACCCUAUGCAGCUUC